UGGGGAAUAUUGGACAAUGGGGGAAACCCUGAUCCAGCGACGCCGCGUGGGUGAUGAAGGCUUUCGGGUCGUAAAGCCCUGUCAGGAGGAAAGAAUGCUUCUAUGACAAAUACUCAUAGAAAGUGACGGUACCUCCAAAGGAAGCACCGGCCAACUCCGUGCCAGCAGCCGCGGUAAGACGGAGGGUGCAAGCGUUGCUCGGAAUUACUGGGCGUAAAGGGUGCGUAGGCGGCCUUUCAAGUCCGGCGUGAAAGCCCAGGGCUCAGCCCUGGAAGUGCGCUAGAAACUGGAUGGCUAGAGUAUCGGAUGGGAGAGUGGAAUUCCUGGUGUAGCGGUGAAAUGCGUAGAUAUCAGGAGGAAUACCGGUGGCGAAGGCGACUCUCUGGACGAUAACUGACGCUGAGGCACGAAAGCGUGGGGAGCAAACAGGAUUAGAUACCCUGGUAGUCCACGCCGUAAACGAUGGGCACUAGGUGUCGGGGGUAUCCACUCCUCCGGUGCCGCCGCUAACGCAUUAAGUGUCCCGCCUGGGAAGUACGGUCGCAAGAUUA
rnacentral:rRNA from 1 species